UAUGUGCUUUGAAUUCUACUUUCUCUUGUU
rnacentral:piRNA from 1 species